UACUUUAAAGUUUGAAAUAAUACCUUGUAAACUACAUACUAGUAAGUGUCAUACUUUCAAUAGAGUAUAUAAAUGCAUUUUAUUUCCAUUCUGGCUAUUUUCUGUGGAUUAUACAUUUCCAUGGAUUAUCUGCAUGAAAUUACAGUAAAUUAAAAAAUAAAUUAAGAAGAUAAAUGAAAAUUUUAAAAAUAAAUAUCCCUAAUCUAUUUUCUGUUGUUCUAAUGUGUAUAAAAUUUCAAUAUUUGAUUUAUCAUCACUUUUCAAAAUAACAGAAAAUGCAAGAUACAUGUGAAUUUAUUUUCAUAUUAGAUAUAGUAUUUUUUGAAAAGGCAAAGAGGAAACAUGUUAAAAUUCUGAUUGGAUACAAAAAUAAUGUCAUAGUUGAUGUCACGAGCAACCAAGCGGAAACAAACUUGCAACUACAUUAAUUAACCAUUCCAAUGUUAUGUUGCAAGAAAUUGUGAUGUCCAGUUGUGUUCUGUCUUAGGUCUUGUUUGUCACGGUCAACUGACUGUGAUAAAUAUAAAGAUGAUCUUUUACGUGUUUAUUCAUUUUUGUUUUUUAAUAUACAUUUAUUCGUUUAUCAUACAUUAUUUGAUAAUUUGAAACUUAUGAUAAGAUAGUGACGAGGAGAAAGUAUCCAGAAAAGAAUUAUUGAUAGGUAAGAGACGAGAGAGAAAAGAAUCGAAGAAGGACAAAGGUUACGUGGCCUUUGAAGGCGAAAGUUCAGAAGAUGAAAUGGAUGAAACUAAAAGUCCAGCUAAAACAAAAAAGACCAAAGCUCCAUUUAAAUUUCCUGGUAAAGAUAAAAAAGAAAGAUCUGGAAAAACUAAAGAUAAGGAAUUGAAAGAAACAAAAAAGGAAGAGGAUAAGUCUAGUAAAGAAAGUAAGAAAGAACAUAAAAAGAAAAAAAUUAAGCUAUCAAGAUUUGAUAAAAAGGACAAAAAGAAAAAAUUUGAUACAAAAAAGUCAGGUAAUUUACUGUCAUUAAAUAAUAAUUAUAGUAUUGAGAGAUUGUAUGAUCAACAUAUUAAAUGCAUUAGUGCAUAAAAAAAUACUUUUAUUUUUGUAAGGUCAUCUCAUACUUGAUAAUCAUUCCUCAACUUAGAAUUCUAAUUAUAAGUUAAUCCAGCAGUUGGCUAUUGCCCAUACAAUAGCAAGAAUUUGAAUAUUAACUUGUAAUUAGAAUGUAAAUUGCUUUCAAACAGCAUAAUAACAAUAAUAAUAAUAAACAACUCUCUUGGAAGUAAACUAUUAAAAGUGAAUUAUUACAGUCUUUUCAAGAUGAGAGAGCUCAGUAGUUUCAAUGGGCUAUAGGCGAUGCUGACGGGAGCACAAGCUUCCAGUAGGGCAUUUCUCCCCAUAGACCUUACAGGUAUGGUCUAUGGGAAGAAAUGAAGCAAAGAGUAAUCACAAGCAACACUUGGUUCAAAGUGUUCUUUGAACCAAGUGUCAAGUUGGGUCAAAACAAUGUCUGUUCUCCAUGUCAGGAGCAGCUUACGUAUAAAUGCCUAGAUUUAGGUUUAUAAGUGAAAACAAAAACGGUUGUUAUAUCAUGAUCCCAAUCGGACAAAGUUUAUGGUAUCUAAAUACAUACAUAUUACCAAAAUACAUUCUACCAGAGUCAACAUUGUCAGACAUAUGUGCAUUAAUUAAUUUUUUUCAAUCACUUUAGCUAUAUACCAUGAUCUACCUCAGCUUGUUUUGACCCCAUAUUACAUACAAAAUAUAUAUGAAAAUGAAAACUUUUUUGAUAAAGAGGUCUGUUUAUUUUAAG
rnacentral:lncRNA from 1 species